GACGAACGCUGGCGGCGUGCUUAACACAUGCAAGUCGAACGGGGUGUUUAUUUCGGUAAACACCAAGUGGCGAACGGGUGAGUAACGCGUAAGCAAUCUACCUUCAAGAUGGGGACAACACUUCGAAAGGGGUGCUAAUACCGAAUGAAUGUAAGAGUAUCGCAUGAGACACUUACUAAAGGAGGCCUCUGAAAAUGCUUCCGCUUGAAGAUGAGCUUGCGUCUGAUUAGCUAGUUGGUGAGGGUAAAGGCCCACCAAGGCGACGAUCAGUAGCCGGUCUGAGAGGAUGAACGGCCACGAUUGGGACUGAGACUA
rnacentral:rRNA from 1 species